rnacentral:rRNA from 1 species
UCAUCAUGCCCCUUAUGUCCAGGGCUUCACACAUGCUACAAUGGUCGGUACAACGCGCCGACACAUGUGAGGUGGAGCGAAUCUGCUCGAAAGCCGGCCUUAGUUCGGAUUGGGGUCUGCAACUCGACCCCAUGAAGUCGGAGUCGCUAGUAAUCGCAGAUCAGCAAUGCUGCGGUGAAUACGUUCCCGGGCCUUGUACACACCGCCCGUCACGUCAUGAAAGUUGGUAACACCCGAAGCCAGUGGCUCAAACUCGUUUAGGGAGCUGUCUAAGGUGGGAUCGGCGAUUGGGACGAAGUCGUAACAAGGUACCCGUACCGGAA